rnacentral:ncRNA from 1 species
CACCACCUGUCGCUACUACCAAUUGGGUGGUUUAGUGAGGUCCUUGGACGGGCCCUGGUGGCGUCAGCCAUGGCCUUGCCGGAGCACCAAGAAGACAGUCAAACUUGGCUAUCUAGGGGAAGUAAAAGUCAUAACAAGAUUUCCGUAGGUGAACCUGUGGAAG